rnacentral:ncRNA from 2 species
ACCUCAUCCAGAGGGGCUGAGGGAUACGGCCCGACGACGCCCCGGCAACCACCCGCACGCUCGACGACGAGCGACAGCGGGCAGGUGCCAAUUCCGUCCCCGCCGCACCCGGCGAUGCGGGGAAAGAUGAGAG